rnacentral:rRNA from 1 species
GAUGAACGCUGGCGGCGUGCCUAAUACAUGCAAGUCGAGCGAACAGACGCGGAGCUUGCUCCUCUGACGUUAGCGGCGGACGGGUGAGUAACACGUGGAUAACCUACCUAUCAGACUGGGAUAACUUCGGGAAACCGGCGCUAAUCCCGGAUAAUAUCUUGAACCGCAUGGUUCAAUUGUGAAAGACGGUUUUGCUGUCACUUCUAGAUGGAUCUGGGCCGCAUUAGCUAGUUGGUAAGGUAACGGCUUACCAAGGCAACGAUGCGUAGCCGACCUGAGAGGGUGGUCGGCGACACGGGAAGGGAGACACGGUCCAGACGCCUACGGGAGGCAGCAGUAGGGAAUCUGCCGCAGUGGGCGAAAGCCUGACGGAGCGACGCCGCGUGAGUGAUGAAGACCUUCGGAGCGUAAAACUGUGUUAUGAGUUAAGAACAGAUGUGUAAGUAACUAUGCACGGCUUGACGGUACCUGAUCAGAAAGCCACGGCUAACUACGUG